CAAAGGUUUGGUCCUAGCCUUAUUAUUAAUUAUUGCUAGUCCUACACAUGCAAGUUUCCGCUGUCCGGUGAGACAUGCCCUGAGAGCUCUAAAUUUUUUUAAGCCUACAGGAGUUGGUAUCAGGCACGCUUAAUGCGGCCCAUGACACCUUGCUAAGCCACACCCCUACGGGUUGCAGCAGUGACUAACCUUGGGCCAUAAACGAAAGUUCGACCAGGCCAUAGUAAUUACGGGCUGGUAAAUUUCGUGCCAGCCACCGCGGUCAUACGAUUAGCCCAAAUUAAUGAUCAAACGGCGUAAAGCGUGUUUAAGCUCUAUCAACAAUAAAGUUAAUACUAGACUAGACUGUAAAACGUAACAGUCAGGUAUAAGGUACACGACUAAAGUGACUUUAGCACAGCUGAACACACUACAGCUAAGACCCAAACUGGGAUUAGAUACCCCACUAUGCUUAGCCAUAAACCUAGAUAGCCUAUAAACAAGACUAUUCGCCAGAGAACUACAAGCGAGCGCUUAAAACUCAAAAGACUUGGCGGUGCCCUAAACCCACCUAGAGGAGCCUGUUCUAUAAUCGAUAAACCCCGAUAAACCUUACCUUUUCUUGCCAAUACAGCCUAUAUACCGCCAUCGUCAGCCUACCCCAGUAGAGAAAAAGAGUAGGCGUAAUAAUUAACCAUAAAAACGUUAGGUCAAGGUGUAGCAGAUGAAAAGGCAAGCAAUGGGCUACAUUUUCUAAUUUAGAAGACACGGAUUAUCUUAUGAAAUCUAAGAUAUUAAGGAGGAUUUAGCAGUAAAUUAAGAAUAGAGAGCCUAAUUGAAACAGGCGAUAGGGCGCGCACACACCGCCCGUCACUCUCCUCAAUAAGCACUCAAAUUUAAAUAAAACAAAUAGACAAUAAAGAGGAGAAAAGUCGUAACAUGGUAAGCGUACUGGAAAGUGCGCUUGGAAUAC
rnacentral:rRNA from 12 species